rnacentral:rRNA from 1 species
UACGAAGGGGGCUAGCGUUGUUCGGAUUUACUGGGCGUAAAGCGCACGUAGGCGGAUCGUUAAGUCGGGGGUGAAAUCCUGGAGCUCAACUCCAGAACUGCCUUCGAUACUGGCGAUCUUGAGUCCGGAAGAGGUGAGUGGAAUUCCUAGUGUAGAGGUGGAAUUCGUAGAUAUUAGGAAGAACACCAGUGGCGAAGGCGGCUCACUGGCCCGGUACUGACGCUGAGGUGCGAAAGCGUGGGGAGCAAACAGG